rnacentral:lncRNA from 1 species
UUUCAGCAAGAGAUAGAUUUUUCUGAUUUAGCUUUUUAUUCUUUAAACUAAGCUUCUUAUAUUCUAAGUAUAGAUCAGAAAAAGCAUCAUGAAGUUCAUCAAAUGUAAAAUCAGAUUGAGUUUCAGCAUGUACUUUAUCUUGGAAUGAGAAAUCACUUUGUGUUCCAAUACAUACCUUAUCUUCAUGUGCCAUAAAGCAAGGAUUUUUAAUUUCAGUUUGCUGCUCUUCUUCUUCAGAGCU